rnacentral:rRNA from 1 species
UACGAAGGGGGCUAGCGUUGCUCGGAAUUACUGGGCGUAAAGCGCACGUAGGCGGAUUGUUAAGUCGGGGGUGAAAUCCUGGAGCUCAACUCCAGAACUGCCUUCGAUACUGGCGAUCUCGAGUCCGGAAGAGGAGUGUGGAAUUCCUGGUGUAGCGGUGAAAUGCGCAGAUAUCAGGAGGAACACCAGCGGCGAAGGCGGCGCUCUGGGCCGGUACUGACACUGAGGAGCGAAAGCGUGGGUAGCAAACAGG